AACGAACGCUGGCGGCAGGCUUAACACAUGCAAGUCGAGCGCCCCGCAAGGGGAGCGGCAGACGGGUGAGUAACGCGGGGGAACGUACCCUUUGCUACGGAAUAGCUCCGGGAAACUGGAAUUAAGACCGUAUGUGCCCUACGGGGGAAAGAUUGAUCGGCAAAGGAUCGGCCCGCGUUGGAUUAGCUAGUUGGUGGGGUAAUGGCCUACCAAGGCGACGCUCCAUAGCUGGUCUGAGAGGAUGAUCAGCCACAUUGGGACUGAGACACGGCCCAAACUCCUACGGGAGGCAGCAGUGGGGAAUAUUGGACGAUGGGCGCAAGCCUGAUCCAGCCAUGCCGCGUGAGUGAUGAAGGCCUUAGGGUUGUAAAGCUCUUUCACCGGAGAAGAUAAUGACGGUAUCCGGAGAAGAAGCCCCGGCUAACUUCGUGCCAGCCGCCGCGGUAACAC
rnacentral:rRNA from 1 species